rnacentral:rRNA from 1 species
CACGUAGGGCGCAAGCGUUGUCCGGAAUUAUUGGGCGUAAAGAGCUCGUAGGCGGUCUGUUGCGUCCGCUGUGAAAACUCGGGGCUUAACCCCGAGCCUGCAGUGGAUACGGGCAGACUAGAGGUAGGUAGGGGAGAAUGGAAUUCCCGGUGUAGCGGUGAAAUGCGCAGAUAUCGGGAGGAACACCGGUGGCGAAGGCGGUUCUCUGGGCAUUACCUGACGCUGAGGAGCGAAAGUGUGGGGAGCGAACAGG